AGCCAAUCGAUGGAUGAACAUGAAUGAACAGUGGUUUAUUCCGCUUAUGCCAUUCUCUGUUCCCUUUUCCUUCCGAGUUCCCUCUCUCAAGUCUCAACUCGAACCCUCUCUCUUCUCUGUGUCUCCACAAGGCCCUUGCCACCGUCAGCAGCCGCGAAGCACACCGAAUAGGAGGGUUUUGUCGUCCCUCGCUGUCUGAUGCUUCUUUCUCCAACAAAAACCAAAGCCCAUAGAGCGAGAGAGAGAAUUUGAGGCUUCCAAAUGUAUUCCUAGGGCUCGACGGAAACCACCUCUCCACGUUUGACGGCAGCCAGCUUGACGGAAACUCUGCUCAGAGCUUCUGAUUCUUCACCUAGGGUUCUUCAAGUUCGACGGAAACCACCUUCGGAAUCUUCACCGACGACAUAUUUGCCUAGGUUUUCUUUCUCAGCACGCCAUUUCUAUUUGUCUGUCUGUCUGUCUCUCUCUCUCACUCUCAUAGCUUGUCUCUCUCCUUUUUUUUUUUUAUGGGUUUUGGCGGGCUUUCGAAUGUAUUUCUUGGGUUCGAUGGAAAGCACCUCUUCACAAUCGACGACGGCUAGCUCGACGAAAACUCUGCUCAGAGGCUUCGGAAUUUUUACCGAUGGAAUCUUCGCCUAGGGUUUUGGCAGCCGCGGAGCUUGGCGAAGGUGGCUUUGGACCCGUAUAAAAGGAGAAGCUUUUGAAGGGAAUGAAGAGGACAAGGCACUUAUGGGGUUGCUUGAUGAGUUGAAAGAUCAGGUGGCAUCGGAAGUAGCAUACCUCUGUCACCCCAGUGGCUUUUUGCCAAACCAACUGAGCCUAAGAUGGUAUUGUGACACGUGAUGAAAUAAUUGGCUUGUACUGGGGUUUUGUUCCCAAUGCUUUAACAACCCUACCAAGUAGCAGUAAUAACAUAAUUGAAGAUGAACUGAUGACUACUGCAUAAUACGCAUGGAAAUGAUCUACCUGCUAUGUACUGGAAUGAAAUUAUUGAUAUGCUUUAGCGUUCCCAGAAGAGCAAAAGCAACUGGUGAAACAGCUUCUGAGUUCCAGGAAAGUCCAUCAUUUCCCAUUUACUUCUAACCGACACUUGCAAUAAGCAUAAAAAUGGUUUGAAGUCCCACACCACCGAUUUAGUUUUCCAUGUUGGAACUACAUGAACCUGUUUUGUUUUGUUCCAUAAUUUCACAUUUUUUUUUAAUUUUUAUCUUAAUAAAAUAUAAUAGUACUUUCAACUGGGCA